rnacentral:rRNA from 1 species
AGUGAACGCUGGCGGUAGGCCUAACACAUGCAAGUCGAACGGCAGCACAGUAAGAGCUUGCUCUUACGGGUGGCGAGUGGCGGACGGGUGAGGAAUACAUCGGAAUCUACUUUUUCGUGGGGGAUAACGUAGGGAAACUUACGCUAAUACCGCAUACGACCUACGGGUGAAAGCAGGGGAUCUUCGGACCUUGCGCGAUUGAAUGAGCCGAUGUCGGAUUAGCUAGUUGGCGGGGUAAAGGCCCACCAAGGCGACGAUCCGUAGCUGGUCUGAGAGGAUGAUCAGCCACACUGGAACUGAGACACGGUCCAGACUCCUACGGGAGGCAGCAGUGGGGAAUAUUGGACAAUGGGCGCAAGCCUGAUCCAGCCGUACCGCGUGGGUGAAGAAGGCCUUCGGGUUGUAAAGCCCUUUUGUUGGGAAAGAAAAGCAGCAGGUUAAUACCCCGCUGUUCUGACGGUGCCCAAAGAAUAAGCACCGGCUAACUUCGUG